rnacentral:lncRNA from 1 species
GGAGGUUGGCUCACCAAGGGCUGGAAGCAGUGGAGAUGUCUGUGAGGCUGCAGAGGUGAUUCCUGUCCUGCUCCCCUCUCAGUCCACCCUGGGGAGCCAUGGGCUCACCACACAGCUUACUGAGGAAGUCCGUUAUGUCUAAAUCCAGUUUCUCCUGCUGCAGGCUAAAGAAGCACCUGGGAUCUGCAGUCAGGGUCCUGCCUGCCAGGGAGGGCUGGGAAGUAACAGCUAGAACUUGAGAGCCAGAGCCAAGCUAGACCUUGCCUUGUCUUCACCCACACCCAUGAGUGGGACCACUUGGACCAACAUCCUCUACCCAACCCACAGAUGAAGACUUUCAGGUCCUCCCAUACUCCCAGGAACACUUGGGAGCCUGAAUUGGGAUCCCUAUGAGAGAAGCCAGUUAUGGGCCCCUGACUUAGUUUACUCCUCUACAAUUCUACAAUG